UCUGCUGCCCGUGCGCGGAGGACGAGUGCCCCGCGGGUGGCCGCCAAAGGCGCUGCGACUCCGCCGAACGCAGUCCCAGCACGCACUGCCUUCGGGAGAGCCCGUACUGGUGAGCCUCACGCGCGCUCUCCCGGAAGCAGCCAACUCGUCCAGUGUACGCUCCAGAAGUAGUUGUCAGUCAGGACAAGCGCAGCACGUUUCGCGGCUGCCGUAUCACAUAGUGAAAGCACGGCAACGCAGUAUUGUCACGUUACAGUGAUGGUGAAGAACACGGUAUAGUAAAACUGUGAGUCACGAGACUCUUUACUGGACGAACCUGUGCCCGCAAGGACAGGCUACAGUGCAACGAAAGCGGCGAGCAGUGUCGGCGAUCGUCGGAAUCUGCUGGUCAAGCACGACGGCUUGUAUACACGACUCGUCGAAAGUUCCGGGGUAUAAUCGCUGGUGCUCGCGUGCCUUCCAGAAACUACUACACAAUUCGUGUCGCGCACGCAAUCUGAUUACGCAAGGUUCGGUGAGAACAUACACAACAGAUAGAAUCAACAAUAGCAUCCGAGUAAGUUCCAAUCAUGCAGGCGCGUUUUGCGCUGAGCGAUAACUCACGGUUGUUAGCGGGUGAAAUGCAGUCCCCGAAAAAGGCAUAAAUAAGUACACGUGCCCAUAUGAAUAUUCUCUUUUUUAUUUCUUCACGUGUUUGCGUCGCUUGCUUUUUCGUGUAGUUCGCAAAUUUUCUUCCCUCUUUCGUGUCCCCGUACAGAAAAUUUGCACAUGACCAUAUCUAUAUUAUUUCUUCAAGAAGGGAAACGUAUUCUUUCUAGAUGCCUGAUCACUUUGAGGCUGCAGCGGUUUUGUUGUGCUUGGAUUUUUCGCUGUUGUUGCCUUGCAUACGCGGCUAUAUCUACUAACCUGAAAUUACCCGCUAUUAUGUGUUCUCUGGAAUAAAAAUUCCCCUCGGUAGUCGGUGCUGUCUUGUGUCACAUAUCUGUACGUACCCCCCCCCCCUUUUUUUUUUUUUUUGUUUCGCGCUGUUCCACAGAUGCACCAACUCGCCCACCUGUCGAUAACCGCGUAUCCACGUCCCGUGCAGGUACUCGGUCACUGCGCUUGCUCCUGCCGUCGUCUACCACGCGCUCGAAGUGCACGUCUUCAGGAAAAGCGGGCCCAGCUCGUGGCACAGCGUGACGGGACCCAAAGGCGUCUUCCUCAGCACCGACAACCCGACGAGCCGCGCCGGCGACAAUGGGGCAAGGGACUACCUCCUUGUUCAAAAUCACGUGUUAGGCCUUGGUGAUGCGGCGUGCUCCAAGGUCGGUUCAUACUUCAAAGCUUUCUGGAAUCAAGACGAACGCUGUCAGCGCCAAAUUGGAAGCUGCCUGGAGCUGCAGCCCUUAGACAUGUGGUCUCGAGACAACGUGAGUGACCGGCAACCGCACGUCAACGGCAUUUCCUUACCGGGCUCAUUCUUCUACAC